CAGGAGGAGAGUGAAACUCUGGCACUGCUGCCAAUAGCCAGAAGGAAUCAGUGGUCAGAAUUACUGUAGUUCAACAUGGGGCAAGUGCCUAAUUAUCUUAACUAAAAUUCAGAGUCCUCUGGUUGAGUAAAGGGCUAUUACAAGAUUGGUCCCUAGGAUUUGUCAGUACCCAGUUGACAUUUGAUGCCAUUGGUGUUUAUGAAUUGGCUACCAUAGACAAAAAUAAUGCAGUUGCCAGCAGUUGGUUUUCUCUCUAGGCCAGUAAUAGGAUUACCUGAGAGAUCACAAACAAUGCUGAGGCUCAUUCACAAAGAAUGGGACACUGGGCCAAAGAAUCUACAAACUCUGUCAUAUAAAAAGCCAAAAACAUGAAAAGGCAACAAAAUGCCUCAAAAAACUUGAAAUUUCCCAAAAAUGGUUACAGAGGGUACAAAGGGGGGAAAUGUAAGUACACAGGAAAUAAUAAGACAGCCUGCUAAUGGGAGAAAGACAGUUCUAUAAGAUGCUUUGACCUUUCUGAAAUUCUUAUAGACUUCGGGAGCUAAUCUGUUAGAGUUGGUUUGGUGCAUGUAUGUCUGUAAUUGUUAUCUCUUCCUGUUGAGUAAUCCUGGGAUCAAUCAUUGAAAAGAUCAGCUACAGCAUGACCUUUCAUCCCAGGGACACGAGGAUGGCCCAGCACAUGCAAAUCAAUAAAUGAAACUCCUACAUAAACAGAAGCAAGGACAAAAUCACAUGAUCAUCCCAAUAGAUGCAGAAGAAGCCUUUGGCAGAAUUCAGCAUCCAUUCAUGAUUAAAGAAAACUGAGCAAAGUAGCUAUAGAAAGCCUCUAUCUCAACAUGGUAAAAGCCUCUUAUGACCAACCUACUGCUGACAUCAUAUUAAAUGGGAAAGAGCUGAAAGCCUUUCCUCCAAAACCAGGAAUAAGCCAAAGAUGUCCACUAUCACCAGUCAUGCAAUAUAGUCCUCAAAACAGAGAAGUUGGGCAAGAGAGAGAAAUAAAAAGGCAUGUGUAUAAGAAACAAUAAAGUUGAAAUAACUUGCAAAUGACAACAUUCUUACAACACACACACACCAAAAAAAAAAAAUGUCAAAAGAUUCCCAGGAUUCAUAACUUAUCAGUGUAACAGGAUACAAAAUAAAUAUUAAAAUGUGAGUAGCAUUCCUAUACACUGAUAACUCACCGAAAGAGCAGUUAGGAAGACAAUACCAUUCAUCGGAAAAGUUAAAUAGGCAUUAACCUAACUAAAGUGACAGACCUCUCCAGUGAGUACAUCAGACUGAAAAAGGAGAUUGAGGAGGAAAUCAUUGGGUAGGUAGAACUAACAAUCCAAAUGGCUAUACUUCCAAAACGCAUAUACAGCAAUUCUAAUAUACAGGAGAAUAACUCAUUUGGUUAUGCAAAUGUUUUUAUUUCUUCAUAAAAGAAAAAAAAUGAGUGGCCAAAGGAUACUGAGGACCAGCAGCUAACUAGGUUAACAGAAAGCCAAGAGAAGUGAAGUAAUAAAAGCUGCAGGAGGAGUGUCUCAGCUCAGGUGUUGAAUGUUACUGAGAUCAUAAAGAACUUGAAAAUAGUGGCUGGGUGUCAUCGCCUGGAAAACACUGCUUUUUUUUAAGACAGGGUCUUGCAAUGCAGUACACACACACACACACACACACACACACACUUGAAAAUAGUGGCUGGGUGUCAUCACCUGGAAAACACUGCUUUUUUUUAAGACAGGGUCUUGCAAUGCAGUACACACACACACACGCACACACACGCACACACACACACACACACGCACACACACACACACCCCGCCUCAGCCUCCCAAGUGCUGAGCUUACAGGCACGCACCACUAUGCCUGGCAGACUGGUACCUUUGAGACAUUCCUUGAAGACAGCAGAGGCACAGGUGUGUCAGAAAACGCUCCCUCGCACAGCUGAGCCCAAUGUGACUUUUAUCACCAAGAAGGAUCCAGGAAGAGGGCAGAGUUGAAGAUAAAAGCAAAACGGGGUACUGGAUGUGUGAAGGUUUGGCUGCAGAGGAAGUGGAGAGGGCGAGGAUGCAAAGCGCUGCUGGCCUUGAAUGGGAGGAGGUGCUUUUAUGCCAGAAGCAAGGCAACCCUGGAGGCUGCAGACACACGGGUUUCCUUGAAGGCAGAGACUGGUCCCACUCCAGGGUGGUUUGCAUUGAUAGAUGUUCAUCCAGAGAAACGAGAUAUCGUUCUUGGGGACAAGAAUAUUCAUCUAAAAACAACCUUCCUGAUCUCCCGUACUUUUAAUUGUGUAGUUUACUCCUGAGCUGUCUUUGCUUCGACAUAAACCAGGGAAUGUGUUGUGUAGGGAUUAAUUACCGCACUUCCGAGCUGUCCCGGUGAACUGGCUACCGCUUUCAUUCUUACCAAGUUCCUAAAUAGCCGGAAGGCUUCUCCCAGACUUCUGGUACAAGAAUAUGAAAAAUCAUAUUCUUCCUCCAAAAAACAUUCUUGCCCUCUCAGAAAAAUUAGUAGCCAUGAUCCCCUAGAUGCAGCCAGCUGAUCCCGGUCCUGUUAGGCUUCACCUCCCAGUCACCCAUCCGGCAGGCCGGCCUGGCUGCUAAUGAAUGAACCUUGUUAAUGUCUUACCUGAGGCCUCCCCUGACCCCGCUACUGCUAACAAUCUAUUCCCCGAGGAUCCUGGUCUUCUAUGCCGUUCUUGGACUGUGAUGGCUGUCCGCCUCUCCCCUGGCUUGCCACAGGCCUGCCUCUUGGGUGUUGGUGCACCCUGCUUACCCCCGCCUUUUUCCUGGCUAAUGUCAGCCCAUCACAUUCAGCCACCAGCUGCCUGCUGCAGCCUGGGUGUCUGUGUCACUACCUCAGACCUCCAAGCACCCUACUUAUCUGCUAAGUGUUCACCCAGCCACCCAAGUGAAACGCCCCACAUGUUUAAUCAGCUACAUACUCCUGUUGUUUUACCUAGUGAAAAACAUUACAAUCUGUGUUUUCUCUCCAACUGCUGUCUCAGCCUCUCAUCUCUUCGUGAAAUAAUACAAAAACUAUCUAGUUUUCCAGUCUUUCAUUCAGCAUCCUUCCCCUCUGCUACCAGAACAGUCUACCAGGAUAUAAUAGCAUCUGUCCCCUGCAUGAAGCAUCCAUCCCCCUCAGCCUGAAAAAUGCCCAGAGCCCAGUCUGCCCUCAGGACCCAGGGCCCUUGGUGGUCUGGCCCAUGCUGCACACGUAGCUCUAUGCCUGGCCUUUGGCUUUCUUUGCCAGCAACACAGAUCUUGCAUACACACAUGCGCACAGAAUGCCCGAAACCCUUUGUGGGUGACAGUACCUCCUAGGAACCUUCAACAACUCACCAACUGUCAUCUCCACUGCCAUUCCCAUGGCCUCAGUUGGUACUGAGUUCCCUUCUACGAUAGCACUUCAAUUCAUAGGUCUGUGUCCUAUAUUGAUUUUAGCUAAGGUAUAAAUAAGUUUAUUUGGCUAAAGUUACCUAAUAUGUAGUUGUAGCUUACAAGUUAAGUCUUAAUCCUCUGAGCAUUUGAGUACCAGGGACCUCUGCCCAUACACAAUUCACAGGCACUAAAAUGAGGUCGGACCACAGGCUCUGCAUGCAGGUAUCUUCCUGGGGAACUGCCAGGCACACAUGGGAACUUAGGGCUCUUUCUAGCAAAAAGUUCUUACUUUCUCCUGACUUCUAGUGGCACAUUUAAGAAUUUUAAGAUAAUAGUCACCUUAACUUUGCUUUCUGGAGAAAGGUAAAAUAAUUUAAUUCAACUCUCAAAGGUUCUGCAGUUUUCACUGAUGUAGAUACCAAAAUUAGUGGCUAUUGGAAAUGCUUUUACUUAUGGAGGAAGAAUCAAGUUUAGGACAUGAAAUUCAGAAACCUGAUCAUGGGGCUGGGAAUUUAGCUCAGCAGCAUAAGCGCCUAUCUUGCAAGUAGGCAGUCUCAAGUUCGAUCCCCGGUACAGAUUAAAAAAAAAAAGAAACCUGAUCAUACAUUAUGGGAAGAUUAAUAAGACAUUAAUAAGACAUUAGGAAACUAAUAAGAAAACUUUACAGAAUUUUUUUCCUUGCUUUCAGAACGAGAAAUACUGUUUCUAGAAGUAUAAGCAGGCUGGGGAAUUCUGUCCAACCUCCCACUGAAAACAUGUUGAUAGCUGACUGGUUUGCUUGCUUUCUCUUUCUCUUUCUUAAAAUGGAAAAUGCUAAACAAGUCAGUAGGGAAUUAGCAGGUCAGAAUCCAACUGAACAUGGAAUCCUGAGAGUUAAGUGGAAAGAUGCCUUUGCUCAGGGAUGUUUACUAAACCUGGGGACUAGGGGCUUCCAUUUUUUCAGGAUGUGAUUGGACAGGCUGAACAGAAAGACCUCCCAAAAGGCUACUGUGUAGGAUGGGGAUGAACCAGUUGUAAGACUUUCUGCCCCUGUAGGACUGUAAGGUAAGUUACUUUAGAUCUGGGCAGAGCAAGUUAAGAAAAAAAUCUAAGAAGCCAGUACUACAAACUGGCCCGUGCUCUCCAAAUCCACACUCCCUACACAUUACACCAGCAUCAAACUGUGAAGUUAAACUGGAGAGCAGAGUUCCCUAGAUACCUGACUGAAGCAGCAGACAGGAUGCCUCCAUCACAAACCUCAAAGGAGUCCCCAGAUUGUCUAAGGGAUGUGAACCGCUCACAAAGUAAUCACAGGACCUUCACCGUGCAUGACAGUAGCUGGUAAAAUGGGUUCAGAUACUCAGAUACUGAAAGUAUUUUAAUUACUUUUUUAAAAGACUUGCAAACCCCUGCAGAGAAUAGAAAAAUUUAUAAAUGAUAACAGAUUGGAAAAAAUUAAUAGGAUGUAAUGGAAAUAAAAGAGUAACCAAGACAGAUCGAAAGGGGUUAUUCCAAAGGUGGUACAAAGCAAAAGCAAAACAAGGGAAAGCCUAGCACUAUGAAAGGGUGGGGAGAAGAUGCCAGAGAAAGGAUACAGGGUAUUUCAAGAGAUACGGACUCAGGGUUUGCGUGGACUGAUAAGAAGCAACUAUCCAAAGGUCAAAGCUCAGUCAUCCCAAGCAAGAUGAUGUAACACCUGCGUUACAGCGAAACCGCAAGUCGGGAAUAAUACUGUGAAGUCAGUGAAAAAUAGACUUCAUUCUAAAGAGUCUGCGGGUUCUCUCAACACAACGGUGGAAGCUGGAAGACAAUGCAAUGGCAGGAAAGGAAAUAAUUGCCAAAUAAUCCUAUUCCCACUAAAAUUGUCUUUCAAGAGUGAGAAUAAAAAGGUGUUCAGACCCCCAAACUGAAAAUCCCAUCGCUGGAGAAAAUUCUAAGGGCAGCAGGACGACAGCAAAAGCGGCACACAGGUGAGAGAGCAGAUGUUGGCCGUGAGAAACAAUAGUAACAAUAUCUUCAGGAUUUAAAUUAAACACCAUGUACACAAGUGUAGUACAGUAUAAACCAGAGCGGGGUAAACAGAGCUAAAAGGGCGAAGAGCCUUGAACUGAGCAGUUACAGUCAUUGAUGAGGUUUAAACCCACUUUCUUUUAACUACUAGAAAUGAAGUAUGUUACUUUCAAAAUACCGGGAAAAGAUGAGAUGCUCCAGUGUUUUCAAAGGAAACGAAUGGGAGAAAACCAGGUGAAACAAAUAGCCAAAACAGAUCAGUCGUAAAUUCUGUACACAUAACGUGAAUAACUUAUUCUGCAACACACAAAAUUAAAAGACAAAAAUGUUUAUAUUUAUCUGCUCCCGACAAGAGUCACGUCUGAAACACAGGUAGCAGAAAAGUGGAAAGAAAAUGUUCGUCGAGCAGCAUUUUGCUGACAGUGGUUACCCCGAGAUGUCCCUUUCGGUCCAACGACUUGUUUGCCUCGGCUUCUGACAUCACUGGGCUCCAGAACAGCUUGUCAACCAAGCAGGGUGCUUGGAGGGAACAGAGCAGUCCAGCACCAGGCCGAAGCUCUAUUUGCCGGGCUUUGGGGAUAGUCACUGCCUCCGGCAAAGAGCUCUCCCUCUCUCUGUCCCCCUCUCUCCCUCUCCCCUCCACCUAUGAUGAUGCACAGGAAGUCACAUUAGAAAUGUCAAGAGACAGCCGAGCACAAGCAGAGGUGCAUUCUGAGAAAUAGUGCCUCUGCUGAUUAUUUCCCAGAUCCUGUGGCCUCCAAUUUUUUACAUUUUUCACAUCCGUUUGCUGUUUCCUCAGGGUUCAGGUACCUUAUCUCCUGUAUCAGUAGGUUGAGGUGGGAAGGAGAGGAUUGGAUUUCCUGUGGGGUUUCCUGAACCACAUUCAUUUACUCCUGAAAAUCUGACACACGCCAGGACAGGACAGUGGAAAGAGCCUGUGUAGUCUGGCUAAACCACCAGAGAACUGUUAAAACACCUCCCAUCUCUGGCUGAGAAACACCCUCUGUGUAAACCAUUUCCCAGAUACAGCUGCGGACUCUGCCCCAAGUGCCUCAUAAGCCCUGUCACCUCCAAUCUAAGGCUGUGUUAGUGACGUUCCUCGCCUGCUGCCAGAGCACGGCCUGGCAAAAGAGGGCCAAGAACGGUUCUGUGAGGUUCAGAAGACUGCCGUCACCACAGCCUGCCAAGGAGGAGCUCGCCAGAUCCCUCCGAUGUGGAGCCAAGAGAGAAUGGCUUGUGCGGAUGGGGAAAGAAGAGACCAAAGAAGCUAAUGAGGGACCCGAGAGGUCCUUAGCCAGGGUGCAGCCACCCGGACGGUCCUGAAGAGCCAGGCUGGCCUCUUCUCCCUGACCCUGCUCCCAAACUUGGCCAAAGGCUCUCAGAUAUACGAGCACCACAGGACCCAGGGAAGGACUGGCUGAGGCCACCUCACCCGCCCCACGCCAUGCUAAAGGGGACUGCCUGGCGGACAUCAGCAAAUCCCUGGCGUUGGAACACAUUCCACACAGCAGCAUGCUCCAAGCCAUGGAACUCUCAGCUCUCAGUCAGCAUGCACCCUGACCCAACCUCACUUUUAAAGCAUUUUCGGUAUGGAUAAGUUUAAGACUAUGUAGAAAAAAUAUGUAAAUUGUAGGAGAUAACUCCGGUGACUUCCCUUGAAUACAAAAUAAUUACUGUGACUUUGAUUAUUUGGAGACUCAUUUCCUUAUACUGGUAUGUAAAGAGCUGGCUAUGGUAUUUCCUUCUCUCUUCAGUUGGCUCUAAGCAUUGCAAAUAAGGCUAGCUGGGGUGCUAAUGUGCAAUCUCUAUAGCCAACAGACAGUCCUGUUUCCUUGCAUAGUGUUCUCCAUACAGGAUAUAUACAGGAUAUAAGACAGGAGAUGUUAGAGCCAACAGCUCCAGGAACAUCAAAUGGGUACCUCAAGAUAAGAGGCUAUAACUCCCCAGGGCAUAGGAGUUUGCAUAUCAAAAACCAAAGCAACAGCCUCCCGGAAACAAUUCCAUUGCUACCUUAAUUAGGUUAAGUGAGUUGAUCCUUCUGCAUAUCUUUAUCUCUGCAGUUUACGAAAAGGCCAUUCUUGCACCUGGCCAGCCAGCUCAAGUUAUUCACUAAUUCCCGCCACCCUCACUGUCACUCGUCCCUGAGCCACCCUCCUUCUUCACAAGAUAAUAAAUUCUGGCAGAGGCCUAGGAUCAAGGCCUCUGUCCGCUUGUCCUCACGAGGAUUGGAUUUAGGACCAUGGCGAAACAAUCAAGAAACUCUAGAUUAUAUGAAAGUCUCCUGCACAAAGAAAAGAGUUCAAUCAACAGAAUAAACACAGUGAAAGAGGAAAAAGGGAAACAGGUGUGAAAAACACCAUAAAUUCAAUAGCUGGAAAAUACCAAGUCAUUGUAAGUUACGGUUUUACUUGGAUGCUGAUUCCAGUAAGCUUCCAAAAUUAUUUGAAAAUUAAAGAAAUUUGCACAGUAGUUGGAUACUUGCUUAGCCCAAAUUGGCCUGGAACUUGCAGUGAUCCUCCUGCCUCAGCUCCUCAAGUACUUGGGAUUACAGGCAUGCGCCACCACUCCUGGUCUAAUUUUGCUUUACAAUCAGGUAAAAUAUUUACACGAUCUCGAAGUCGAAUUUACCAAACAGAGUAUAUUCAAAGAACUGCGGCUGCUUUGCCCACCCCUCUGCUCUGUCCUCUCCUCUUCCUCCUUCUCCAGGCAUCACCAUGUUUCAAAUAUGAUUGUUUAUUCCUGCAUUGUUAUGUUGGAUCAUUAAUACAAGCAGUGUUUAUAUCUUUCGGCAUUCA